rnacentral:rRNA from 1 species
UACGUAGGGUGCGAGCGUUAAUCGGAAUUACUGGGCGUAAAGCGUGCGCAGGCGGUUAUUUAAGUCAGGUGUGAAAUCCCCGGGCUCAACCUGGGAACUGCAUUUGUGACUGCAUCGCUGGAGUGCGGCAGAGGGGGAUGGAAUUCCGCGUGUAGCAGUGAAAUGCGUAGAUAUGCGGAGGAACACCGAUGGCGAAGGCAAUCCCCUGGGCCUGCACUGACGCUCAUGCACGAAAGCGUGGGGAGCAAACAGG